rnacentral:rRNA from 1 species
UUGAACGCUGGCGGCAUGCCUUACACAUGCAAGUCGAGCGGCAGCGCGGGGGCAACCCUGGCGGCGAGCGGCGAACGGGUGAGUAAUACAUCGGAACGUGUCCAGUAGUGGGGGAUAACCAGUCGAAAGAUUGGCUAAUACCGCGUACGACCUACGGGUGAAAGCGGGGGACCGCAAGGCCUCGCGCUAUUGGAGCGGCCGAUGUCGGAUUAGCUAGUUGGCGGGGUAACGGCCCACCAAGGCGACGAUCCGUAGCUGGUCUGAGAGGACGACCAGCCACACUGGAACUGAGACACGGUCCAGACUCCUACGGGAGGCAGCAGUGGGGAAUUUUGGACAAUGGGCGCAAGCCUGAUCCAGCCAUGCCGCGUGAGUGAAGAAGGCCUUCGGGUUGUAAAGCUCUUUCGGCGGGGACGAAACGGUCCGUGACAACACCGCGGACUAAUGACGGUACUCGCAGAAGAAGCACCGGCUAACUACGU